GAAAGCCGUAUGAGGGAAAACCUCACGUACGGUUUGAUGAGGGGAAGCUGGAACAGAAAAGAGAUGGCAAAGCCAUCUCCAAAGAAAUCUGUUUCAGUUUUCUACUCUAC
rnacentral:ncRNA from 2 species